rnacentral:rRNA from 1 species
CCCUACGGGGGGCUGCAGUGGGGAAUUUUGGACAAUGGGCGCAAGCCUGAUCCAGCAAUGCCGCGUGCAGGAAGAAGGCCUUCGGGUUGUAAACUGCUUUUGUCAGGGAAGAAAUCUUCUGGGCUAAUACCCCGGGAGGAUGACGGUACCUGAAGAAUAAGCACCGGCUAACUACGUGCCAGCAGCCGCGGUAAUACGUAGGGUGCGAGCGUUAAUCGGAAUUACUGGGCGUAAAGCGUGCGCAGGCGGUUAUGUAAGACAGAUGUGAAAUCCCCGGGCUCAACCUGGGAACUGCAUUUGUGACUGCAUGACUGGAGUGCGGCAGAGGGGGAUGGAAUUCCGCGUGUAGCAGUGAAAUGCGUAGAUAUGCGGAGGAACACCGAUGGCGAAGGCAAUCCCCUGGGCCUGCACUGACGCUCAUGCACGAAAGCGUGGGGAGCAAACAGGAUUAGAUACCCGAGUAGUC